CAAGGAAACGGGAAGGCGCCGCAGCGCAUCGCAACGCGACAGGAGUCCCCCGCCCGGCCACCGCGCUGUCUCCCAGAGGCACCCCCAGCCCCCUCACCAAACACAGAAAAUGCCAUCACCUCCUUCACAGUUUUUAAACUGCGUAGAUUAAGAGCAGGAAUAAUUUCAGAUGACAAGUGUAAAGAACACACUCACUGUGACUAGAGAAUGGCAGAAAAAUCAUCCCUUUACCAGAGACAAUUUCAGUGAAUCAAAACUACUGAUAGGGAGUGAUAGGGAGCUUUCCAGCUAGAAAACUC